rnacentral:rRNA from 1 species
AUUGAACGCUGGCGGCAAGCUUUACACAUGCAAGUCGAACGGCAGCGCGGGCUUCGGCCUGGCGGCGAGUGGCGAGCGGGUGAGUAAUACAUCGGAACGUGCCCAGUAGUGGGGGAUAGCUCGGCGAAAGCCGGAUUAAUACCGCAUACGACCUGAGGGUGAAAGCGGGGGAUCUUCGGACCUCGCGCUAUUGGAGCGGCCGAUGGCAGAUUAGCUAGUUGGUGGGGUAAAGGCCUACCAAGGCGACGAUCUGUAGCUGGUCUGAGAGGACGACCAGCCACACUGGGACUGAGACACGGCCCAGACUCCUACGGGAGGCAGCAGUGGGGAAUUUUGGACAAUGGGCGAAAGCCUGAUCCAGCAAUGCCGCGUGUGUGAUGAAGGCCUUCGGGUUGUAAAGCACUUUUGGCGGGAACGAAAAGGACUGUGCCAAUACCACGGUUCGAUGACGGUACCCGCAGAAUAAGCACCGGCUAACUACGUG